rnacentral:rRNA from 1 species
CGAUUUUCCGGUUGAUCCUGCCGGAGGUCACUGCUAUCGGGGUUCGAUUAAGCCAUGCGAGUCGAGAGGGUUCAGACCCUCGGCGGACUGCUCAGUAACACGUGGAUAACCUAACCUAGGGUGGGGAAUAACCCCGGGAAACUGGGGAUAAUACCCCAUAGGUUACGGAUGCUGGAAUGCUCUGUAACCCAAAGCUCCGGCGCCCUAGGAUGGAUCUGCGGCCGAUUAGGUUGUUGUUGGGGUAACGGCCCAACAAGCCUGUAAUCGGUACGGGUUGUGGGAGCAAGAGCCCGGAGAUGGAUUCUGAGACACGAAUCCAGGCCCUACGGGGCGCAGCAGGCGCGAAAACUUUACAAUGCGGGAAACCGUGAUAAGGGAACCCCGAGUGCCCGUAAACGCGGGCUGUUAGGGUGCUUAAAACACACUCUGGGAAAGGGCCGGGCAAG